rnacentral:hammerhead_ribozyme from 1 species
UGCCGAAACCGCCAGCGAUGGCGGUCUGCCGGGAAUGGCCGCCCGGUACUGAUGAGGCAGGCCGUU